rnacentral:rRNA from 1 species
UCUCAGAGAUUAAGCCAUGCAUGUCCAAGUACAAACCUUAAAACGGUGAAACCGCGAAUGGCUCAUUAAAUCAGCUAUAGUUCCUUAGAUCGUACAUACUACAUGGAUAACUGUAGUAAUUCUAGAGCUAAUACAUGCCACUAUGCCCUGACCCGCAAGGGAACGGGUGGAUUUAUUAGAACAGAACCAACCGAUGCGGGCAACCGUGUCGUCUAAUUCUGUGAUGACUCUGGAUAACUUUACUGAUCGCAGUCGGCCUUGUGUCGGCGACGGAUCUUUCAAAUGUCUGCCCUAUCAAUUGUCGAUGGUAGGUGAUCUGCCUACCAUGGUGAUAACGGGUAACGGGGAAUCAGGGUUCGAUUCCGGAGAGGGAGCCUGAGAAACGGCUACCACAUCCAAGGAAGGCAGCAGGCACGCAAAUUACCCAAUCCCAGCACGGGGAGGUAGUGACGAAAAAUACGAAUACGGGACUCUCUAGAGGCUCCGUAAUUCGAAUGAGUACAUUCUAAAUCCUUUAACGAGGACCAACUGGAGGGCAAGUCUGGUGCCAGCAGCCG